GCCGCGUGAGUGAUGAAGGUUUUCGGAUCGUAAAGCUCUGUUGUUAGGGAAGAACAAGUGCCGUUCAAAUAGGGCGGCACCUUGACGGUACCUAACCAGAAAGCCACGGCUAACUACGUGCCAGCAGCCGCGGUAAUACGUAGGUGGCAAGCGUUGUCCGGAAUUAUUGGGCGUAAAGGGCUCGCAGGCGGUUUCUUAAGUCUGAUGUGAAAGCCCCCGGCUCAACCGGGGAGGGUCAUUGGAAACUGGGGAACUUGAGUGCAGAAGAGGAGAGUGGAAUUCCACGUGUAGCGGUGAAAUGCGUAGAGAUGUGGAGGAACACCAGUGGCGAAGGCGACUCUCUGGUCUGUAACUGACGCUGAGGAGCGAAAGCGUGGGGAGCGAACAGGAUUAGAUACCCUGGUAGUCCACGCCGUAAACGAUGAGUGCUAAGUGUUAGGGGGUUUCCGCCCCUUAGUGCUGCAGCUAACGCAUUAAGCACUCCGCCUGGGGAGUACGGUCGCAAGACUGAAACUCAAAGGAAUUGACGGGGGCCCGCACAAGCGGUGGAGCAUGUGGUUUAAUUCGAAGCAACGCGAAGAACCUUACCAGGUCUUGACAUCCUCUGACAAUCCUAGAGAUAGGACGUCCCCUUCGGGGGCAGAGUGACAGGUGGUGCAUGGUUGUCGUCAGCUCGUGUCGUGAGAUGUUGGGUUAAGUCCCGCAACGAGCGCAACCCUUGAUCUUAGUUGCCAGC
rnacentral:rRNA from 1 species